rnacentral:rRNA from 1 species
AACUCUCAACAACGGAUAUCUUGGCUCCCGCAUCGAUGAAGAACGCAGCGAACUGCGAGACGUAGUGUGAAUUGCAGAAUUCCGUGAACCAUCGAAUCUUUGAACGCAACUUGUGCCAUGGUGUUGGGGUCACUUGACUCUGAUUCUAUAUUUUUGGCAUGUCUGCCUCAGCGUCG